GGGUACUCGAGUGGCGAACGGGUGAGUAACACGUGGGUGAUCUGCCCCGCACUUCGGGAUAAGCCUGGGAAACUGGGUCUAAUACCGGAUAGGACCACUUCUUGGAGGUUGUGGUGGAAAGUUUUUUCGGUGUGGGAUGAGCUCGCGGCCUAUCAGCUUGUUGGUGGGGUAAUGGCCUACCAAGGCGUCGACGGGUAGCCGGCCUGAGAGGGUGUACGGCCACAUUGGGACUGAGAUACGGCCCAGACUCCUACGGGAGGCAGCAGUGGGGAAUAUUGCACAAUGGGCGCAAGCCUGAUGCAGCGACGCCGCGUGGGGGAUGACGGCCUUCGGGUUGUAAACUCCUUUCGCUAGGGACAAAGCGUUAUGUGACGUUCCCUAAAAAAA
rnacentral:rRNA from 1 species